rnacentral:lncRNA from 1 species
AGGGACACACAUGUGGGCAGACACUGCAAAUGUGGCCCUAACAGAAUUUCCCCUCAUGGCUGGUUCCUUAAAAUGACUUGUAAGGAGGGAAGAUGUAUGUAAUUUUCUCCCACGGGAAAUACCACCUACUAGAAGAGAACUCCAGCAUCCCCAUCCCCAGCUCUGACCCCUGUCCUGAUCUUCCAUCCUUCCUGUAGCUGCCUUCUCUCUGUUCGUCUGGAUGUCCCAAUGUCACUUCAAUCUCAACAUGCCUACACAAACGUUGACGUCUCCUCUCCCCGCCUCAAUCCAGCUCCCUUAUCUAAUUCCCCUGUUCCUAAAGACUUAACAUCGCCAUUCUCCAAAGUUUUAAUAAUAAACUGAAAAUCAGUUUUUAUUAUUUCCUUCCUUCUAUACGUGAUCAAUCACCAUGUCAUUUUAUCUAUUACAAAGGCCUUUUGACAGUGCUCCCAGCCUCUGAUUUCUCCCCUCUACAAUCAGCGCUGUGCACGUAUUUAUUCAUUCAUUUAUUCAUUAAUGCUCCUCGAAGUAUUCCUGCCUCUGUAUGCUCGGGCUGAGCUCUGCAUUAGGGAUUCACAGACGAAUAAAACACAGUCGCUGACCUGAAGUUUCUCAAGAGCUCAGUAAAUACUUCAUAAAGUAAUACAUUGACUAUAUCUGUCCCCUCCUCAAAAUUUUUGGCAGCUCCUUAUUGUCUGGGAUCCAUAAUCAUUGCCCAAAACCUAUCUUGUCCUUGGCCUUGGCAGCUGUUUUUUAGGGCAAAUUCAAUUCAGUGCUUACAGAAUAAUUACUGUGAGUUGUAACUAGCCAUAUCGGAUCCUGGGUGCAUGCCCUAUACCUUCUCCUCUCAGAAUUAUGAUGCUGAGACUUGGGAUGCUGACUUGAGGCUCAAAACAAAUAGCAGAAUUGGCUAAAAUUAAAAUAUUGGUGAUAAAUCAGAUAGUCAUCGAGAGCUAGGAAUGCUGAUGCUGAGAGAACCGGAAAAGAAGAAUGCUAAUAAUAAUAGUAAAAUACUCUCCUGGAAUAUAAGAAAUCAAGAAGUUCAACCCCAAGUUAGCAGUUCUGGCACUUCUGAAUCAUGCUGGGCACAGACCCUAAAAAUAUCAGAAUGACUCCUUGGACAACUUUCAUUAUCCAUCCUGUUUGACAUUCCCUCUGGUAGGGGUCUCAAAGGAAAAUUCUCAAUAAGAACCACAUGAAUGAAUGAAAAAAAGAGAAGAAAGGGAUGGCGGGAAAGGAAAGAAAGGGAAGGGAACAAGAGGAAAAGAAGGAAGAGAGGAAGAAAGUUGAUGCUAUAUAAGCCUCAAUAAACCAGAGAGCUGCAAUUUCUCCCUUGGAGAAUAUGAAGAGAAAAAAAGAGGAGGCUAAGGAUCUAUAUCAUCUGUUGAGCUGGUAAUGGAACCAGUGAUGGAGUAUUCCAUGGCCACCAGGCUAUCACCUGGAUCAACUCCUUCUGCCUCGACCCAGCCAUUCUACCCUGGGAAGUGCCUCAACCACUGGCCAGGAAACCUGAGUUCUGUUCCAGGCUCUGCCACUGACCUGCUAAGUAAUCCUCGACUGCGCAUUUACCUUCUUAGGGCUCUGCUUCCCCAUGCGUAAAAGGGAGACAGUAAUACAUCCCCAUCCUCCACACGGCCCACUGCCCAGGGGUCACAAAGAUCACACGAGACAACAGAUGUUUAAAGCUAAACAUGCUUUAUAAGCAUAAGACCUUAUAAAUGUUAUUUCUAUUUGGAUGGCUUGAGGAAAGAAAGAAAAAUAAUUUGGGGGGAGGGUAUUGACUCAAAAUGAGCCUGCCCUUAUGAGGGAAGGAAGAAGGGAAGGAUGGGCUGGGGCAAAUUUCACCCUACGGACUGAGAAAGUGCUCUCUUUCUACAUGUGCCUGGAAGUGUUGAGAUGAUCAGAGGAAAUGUGUUUAUGUACAAGCUAAGCAAA